UGAAGAACGUAGCGAAAUGCGAUAAGUAAUGUGAAUUGCAGAAUUCAGUGAAUCAUCGAAUCUUUGAACGCACAUUGCGCCCGCCAGUAUUCUGGCGGGCAUGCCUGUUCGAGCGUCAUUUCAACCAUCAAGCCCCCGGCUUGUGUUGGGGACCUGCGGCUGCCGCAGGCCCUGAAGACCAGUGGCGGGCUCGCUAGUCACUCCGAGCGUAGUAAUACAUCUCGCUCAGGGCGUGCUGCGGGUUCCGGCCGUUAAAAAGCCUUAUUUACCCAAGGUUGACCUCGGAUCAGGUAGGAAGACCCGCUGAACUUAAGCAUAUCAAUAAGCGGAGGA
rnacentral:misc_RNA from 1 species